CAACACUCCAGGCCUUGGUGGAGUUUCCAAAGCCAUCCUAUUUUUCAACUCCAACUGCACCUCCCUCCUAACAGUUCUGAGACAUACAAUUAGUAAUGCUUUCUUCUAACUUUUGCUUGCUCAAGAUUUUUCUCUCCUAGUUCUCAUUCAACUGAACAUUUUCUUCCCUAAUUCCCCUGUCGUGCUCAUGAACUAGAGAUCUGUGGGUUGGCUUCCAGAGUCCUCUUCCUGUUUAGGGCGAUUAUACGGUAUCUGGUUUGGGGCAGCAUCUGUAGUGUAAGUUGGCACCCCUCAGAAUGUUGACAGGGACCUCAUUCUUAUCACUACUUUUCUUACUGGCAGAGAAAAUGAAUUUGGCCAGAGAGCUGCAGACUUGCUACUGUAGUACAGAUAUGAAAAAGCCUAGUUUGAACCUCUCUGUUAAUACAGAUAAUUCCAUGCAAUGAAUAUUAUUAUACUGGGUCUUUGCUCAUAGGAGUUUUUUUUGUUGUUUUUUUUUUUUGUCUUUCUGCUAUUUCUUGGGCUGCUCCCUCGGCAUAAGGAGGUUCCCAGGCUAGGGGUCUAAUCGGAGCUGUAGCCACCAGCCUAUGCCAGAGCCACAGCAACACGGGAUCCGAGCCUCGUCUGCAACACAGCUCACGGCAACGCCGGAUCGUUAACCCACUGAGCAAGGGCAGGGACCGAACCCGAAACCUCAUGGUUCCUAGUUGGAUUUCGUUAACCACUGCGCCACGACAGGAACUCCUGUUCAUAGGAGUUUAACAGCUAAAAGUACACACAGGAGGAGUUUCCACUGUGGUUCAGUGGGUUAAGAACCGAACUGGUAUCCAUGAGGAUUAGGGUUUGAUCCCUGGCCUUGCUCAGCGGGUUAAGGAUCUGGCAUUGCCAUGAGCUGUGGUAUAGGUCGCAGAUGUGGCUCAGAUCCCAAGUUGCUGUGGCUGUGGUGUAGGCCAGAGGCUACAGCUCUGAUUCCCUGGGAACCUCUAUAUACCACGAAUGCAGCCCUAAAAAGAUAAAAGAUGAAAAAAUUAAAAAAAAAAUUUUUAAUUCCUCUUCUUAAGAUGUGUUAAGGACCCAACCCUGGGUCAGUGAGGAUGUGGGUUUGAUUCCUGGCCUUGCUCAGUGGAUUAAGGAUCUGGUAUUGCCAAGCUGUAGCAUAGUUCGCAGACAGGACUCAGAUCUGGCGUUGCUGUGGCUGUUGUGUAGGCUGGCAGCUGAAGCUCCAAUUCAACCCCUAGCCUGGGAACGUCCAUAUGCUGCAGGAGCGCCCUAAAAAGACAAAAAAAAAAAAAAAAAAAAAAAGUUACCAUCUUUCACCUGAUGGGGCCUUGCUUAGUUCCUGCAGAAGAACUCAAAGAUUCUGUCAUGCGUGUUCCUUGAGAGGGAACUAGGAUUCCCUCUCCAAAGCUGCACUGUGGGGUUCCUGACUGCUCCACCUUGUUUCAGCAUUCCCGCUCUUGUUUGAUUACGAACUGUUUGAAUCUGCCCGUUGGAACCCGAGGGAGGUGAAGGAGGCUGCAGCCCUUUCUCUGCAAAAUAAGGAAUCAGGGAAGGGGGACAAGACAGAAAAGAUUCAUACAAGGAAGGCCCUCACAGGGUCCUGCUCCAUUUCACUUCCACCCUGAUUCUCAGAGCUUUGGGGACAAGUGGAAGAAAGAAAAGGGUGUAGUCAUAUAUGCAGGGGCUUGCAGAAUUUGCUUAACAGUAGAAAGACCAGUGAGGAGCCUAGGGACUCUCUCUUAAAGGACUAGACCAGGGUUUUUCACCCCUGGCACUACUGACUUUUUGACCCUGUAAGUUGAUAGGUUGGGGGGGCCUCUAGAGAAAGAGCACCAGGAGUGGCUUUGUUGAUACAAAAAUCCAUUUUGGCCUAAGUCAUUUUGUGAUCUAAGCCUGGCAAGGGCAAUGCUUGUCCUUGUACAGGUCUCAGUAAUUAAUGAUCUUAAGGGAGAGAAUGCAGAAACGAGGGAGGAGCAGUCAGGAAACAACAGUGCAGCCUUGGGGCAGGGUCCUGUUCCUCAAGGGAUGUACAUAUACAAUAACACACUUUUGAGUUUGCAGGAAGUAAGGUCCCCACCCAGAUGAAAGACUGAAUGAUGAUGUUGACUUUCCAGACUUCAAUCAACUAUAGCUUGUUGACUCUGUCAGCCUUUGAGUCAAUUCUGUGCUGCGUUAUGCUCUACUCAAGCCCCCUCCUGAAUAUGCUUAAAGCUUCCCCAGUUUUGCUGUUUGCUGAGACAUUGCUUCAGGAAAGAUCCUGGUGUUCUCCUUACUUGCUGCAAGUAAUAAAUCUUUCCUUCUGAUUUUUGGCUUGGUUCUAUCUAUUGGGUGGAGACCCGCUGAGAGGUGGAGUGGACCCAGUUUUUGGAUAACAGCCUCCUUCACCAUGGGGCCUUCUUUGUGCGUCCCUGGCUUCCAUCCACUAGAUGCCAGUAGCUCCUCUACCUAAUUGUGAAAAGAUCUUAUGUCUCCUGGGGCCAAAAUCUCUCCCACCUUGAGAACCAGUGCUCCAGACACUUCUAUGGGAUAGAUUACUCACUGAACAUUAACUCAGUGGAGAAAUGAUCACAGGAGGAUGCUAGCUUACUCUCCUGUGGGAGACAGUCAUCAAGCCACCUGCAGGGUCUUGUCCACAUGCACCCAUUUUUUUUUUCUUCCCCCCUCCCAUUAUGCAACACGCACAUGAACACAGUCUCACAGGAAAACAUCCACAUAAUAUAUUCUCCUUAUAGCUUCCAACCUAAGGGAAUCCCUAAAUUUAUUUACUUUGCUUCUUAGGGGUGCACCUGCAGCAUAGGGAGGUUCUCAGGCUAGGGGUCAAAUCAGAGCUACAGCUACUGGCCUACAUUAUAGCCACAGCAACAUAGGAUCAGAGCCGCAUUUGCGACCUACACCACAGCUCACAGCAACGCCAGAUCCUUAGCCCACUGAGUGAGGCCAGAGAUCCAACCCGAAACCUCAUGGUUCCCAGUCAGAUUCGUUUCCACUGUGUCACAACAGGAACUCUGGGAAUCUCUAAAUUUUAACAUAGAAAUCAGUUUUGUUUUUUUCCUUUUUAAAUAAAUGGGAAUUCACUGUAUGUUUUGUUCAACUUGAUAUUUCUUCAGUUAACAAUCCAAUUAAAAAUGGGAGACUGGGAGUUCUUGGUAACCACCUGGCUCAGUGGUAACAAACCCGAACAGUAUCCAUGACUUGGGUUCAAUCCACGGCCAUGCUCAGUGGGUUAAAGAUCUGGCGUUGCUACAUGCUGUGGUGUAAGUUGCAGACUGGACUCGGAUCCCACGUUGCUGUGGCUGUGGUGUAGGCUGACAGCUGCAGCUCCAAUUUGACCCCUACCUAGGAACUUCCAUAUGUCAUGGGUGUGGUCCUAAAGAGACCCCCCCAAAAAAACCCCGCGAACAAUCAAAUAAACAAAAAAACUGGAGACCAGCUUCAUAGCUAUAUAGUUCACUUUUUCGCCCCCUAUGGCCACACCUGUGGCAUAUGGAUGUUCCCAGGCUAGGGGUCAAAUCGAAACUGCAGCUGAGGCCUAUACCACAGCCAUAGCAAUGGCGCAUCGGAGCUGCAUCUGUGACUCGUGGGUGGCAAUGCCUUAUCCUUAACCUGCAUCCUCAUGGGCACUAUGUCAGGUUCUUAACCCACAAAGCCACAACAGGAACUCCAUUUUUUUUUUGGCUUUUCUAGGGCUGCACUUGCAGCAUAUGGAGGUUCCCAUGCUAGGGGUCUAACCGGAGCUGUAGCCUCUGGUCUACGCCAGAGCCACAGCAACUCGGGAUCUUCGACCUACACCACAGCUCAUGGCAACACUGGAUCCUUAACCCACUGAUCGAGGCCAGGGAUCAAACCCGCAACCUCAUGGUUCCUAGUCGGAUUCAUUAACCACUGAGUCACAACGGGACUCUGGAACUCCUCUCUUUUAUAUUUUUAUUUAUUUUUUAUUCCUUGGCCACACCUGCAGCAUUUGGAAGUUUCCAGGCCAGGGCUGGAAACCUACACCACAGUAGCUAUCCAAGACACUGCAGGCAAUGCUGGACCUUUAACCUGCUGUGCCAGGAGAGAACUCCUAUCUUGCUCUCCUUCAAAAUGCUACAUAAUAUUCUAUAUUGUCGGCAUGUCACUGAUUAAUCUGUUUGCAAACUGAUAAGCAACUACAUUUUCAGUUUCUAAAUAUCCUAACAAAGCUGACAGUGCGUAUAAUGAACACUCUAGAAAUGUGUCUAUUUUGCAAGAAGGGUGGUAUAGACAAUUUUAUCUUUUUUUUUUUAGGGCUGCACCUGUGGCAUAUGGAGGUUCCCAGGAUAGGGGUCAAAUUGAGGCUGUAGCUGUGGCCUACACCACAGCCAUGGCAACACCAGAUCCAAGCCUCGUCUGCGACCUACAU
rnacentral:lncRNA from 1 species